GUCCGAACAGACCGCUAGAUGGGGCUGAUCCUCCAUGGGAAUCUGGGUGGGUCGGCGCGUCGGUGGAAGGGUUCGUGAGAGGACUCGCGGCGUCUUCCUGCAGCCAGGCUUGGGUGAAGAGAUUAGUCUGUGGCCUUAUGAACAUUCUAAAGUUCAGAGGACCAAGAACUACCUGAAGUCAAAAGGAGCCUGGGAACUGAAUGCAUGUCAGCCAACCUUUGCAUCUAUGCCCCUAAGAAUGAGAAAUAACCUUCAGGGCCCAGCCCUAGCUGAGACAAGAAAUCAACUCUGACAUGAUGCCACCUUUGGACAUGAACUCGGUAGGACCAAUGCUAUGGAGAAACUGCUUUUAAUCUGAACCCACUCUCACCAGAGAUCCAAAUGGUAUAAGGGAAGAGUAUGCCUCCAGAGUAAAGGGGCAGAGGAGAAAUUCUUCUAUGGCAUGAUCACAAGGAUCCUACGAUCUCUGUGAUUCUCUAUCUAGGACCAUCAAGGGAACCAAUGGAGACAGCCUGCUCUUGUAUUGUGAAAGAAAGACCCCAGUUAUCAUGACAAGAUAUCAAGACAACCAUGUCUUCCUUUCCUCAUGAAAAACCAGAGAAACCCACUAAACAGAUGAGCCCAGGGCAGGGAAGCCAGCCUCUCCUCCUGAGCCUUUUUUGCCUUGCUGGUUUAUGCUUUGAGAUCCAGAACGAGAGUCUUGGACUUAUAACCUUUCCACAACCCUUUGGCAGGUGCUUUGGGACCUUUCCUCAUGCAGAUUCUCAUCACCUCAUGCCCUGGCUAUUGCAAUGCCUUUCUGUGCCUCCUUCGACCACCAUGUUGGAACACAUUGUUCUCAUCCUCCCAUUCUACCAUGGGAAGUCUUCAAAUACUUGAGGUAGUAGCUAUCUCCCUAACUACGGAUGAUGGCUUUGAGGCUGGUCGGUUACUUUCAACCUGGUUUAUCCAGUCUGCUGAGAUGGUUUUACUGGGAUACAACCACUUGCAUACUACAGAUUUCUUGGAACCACAGUUCCUUCUCUGGAAUUGGAUGGCAUUCUUUGUCCCAAGUCCCUCAGAAGUGUCCUGGAUCAUCGUAUUGCUGAGAGUAACAAAAUCUAUCACAGUUGAAAAACAAAGACUUCAAAGACACAUGAGUCAUUGAAGUCCAGUGGCAAGGAAAAAGUCAGAAUGACUGGUGAUCACCCAGGAUACAGUGGAUGACUUUUGUGUCUUCAACAUGUCAUUAUCAAGCUCUAGGUGCUCCAGAGAGCCGUCUUCAGCUAUUACCAUGAUUAUUGGACAAAUUAUUCUCAUCUGGCCAUUCUGCAGGGGGAGUCUUGACAUGCUUGAGAUAGACAUCUCCCUAAUUUGAGAUCUGACAGAUACCUGGUUUAGCCCAUUUUACUGGUAUAUGGUCACUGUGUAUUCUACAGUUUCUUGGAGUCAAAGGUUAGAGCUAUGGUAGACACAAAGGGUGGAUAAGCAAAAUAAGCCCUGAAAAGAGCUCAGAAACCCCCUUACUAAAGGUACUAGUUUUCCUUGCACUAUAAUAAUAUGUAAUAUAAUAAUAAUAAUAUAAUAUAGGGCCUAUAUAUUAAAAAUAUAAAAAUGAAUGCUUUUAUGGAAAAAGAACUUAAUAUUUUAAUGUUUCCUAAUUUAAAAUUUUUUAUAGACAAUUCUGAUUUCAUUUCAAAGAUCUAGAUAUUUCUAAAUUUGAAUGGCUAAACAAGGUAUUUUAAGUGGGCAAAUAUGAUACAUUUUUACUCCAUAUGAAAAAUUGUGAAUAGAACUAUCUUGUAAUAAUGUAUUGAAAUGUGUUUGAACUUGAAAAAUUUUAAUAUGUUUUGGCUCUGAGUGAAUAAAGAAUUCUCUGAUUCAUCAAAUAAAGGGAUAGAAAUAUAAAAUACUUGCAUGAAAUAUUUUUUCUAUAGCCAUUAUAAAAGCAAAAUAUUAGUUUUGACUAGUAGAUGAAAAAGAAUUACAAGUGAUGAUAUUAGUUGAUGCAAGGUUUUGAGAAGCUGUACCAAAAACAGAAACCUAUCCAUUGCAUUCAUAUUACUAUUACUGUUUAUUAUUUUAUAAGUUAUUUAUUAUAUACAAAUAUUAUGUAUUAUUACAUGUUAUAUGUAAGUAAUUAUUAUUUAUAUGUCUUAAAGAAUUUUUUAAAAAUAUCAUUUCCAUUUUGACUUUAUUUUAACAAUUAAUUAUACUUUUCCUUAGUUAAAGUGUUGCUUUGAAAGAUUUCACUGUGGUUUAUUAUAUGACAAUU